CGUCCGUCAGCGGGCGGGGUGGGCUCUGGGAUCGGCGGGGCGCGGCGCGGCCUGCAGCGCCUUGUUGGGCCCGCUCCGUCCUGCCGCUCGGGAGGGCGCCGCCCAGGAGCUGAGGCAAUUACUGAGGAAUGGGCGAGUGCCUCUUGGUAGCUUUAUCCCCGCUGCAGGCAGGGGCGGCGGUGUUGAGGUGAACACAAGUUGGCGAAGAUAAGGAGGUGUUUAAGAGCGGGCGAGGAACACGCCGGCUUCCAGGCAGAACCCCUCAGCGAGGACGUUCUGGCGAAAUACCGGCUCCAGGUGAUAAAAGACAACGAACACAAUCCCUCCUCAGGACUUGCAGCACCUCCUAGCUCUACAGUCACAUUGGUUUCAGCUACAUCCCAAUUUGGACUGCCCUACUGAAAAGCAUAAACAAGCCUCAGCCUUUCAACAACAGAUAUGGGACACUAACCUGCCAAAUACAGGAAAAUGAAUAAAUGGAAGAACAAUAGAAGUCAGUAAAGUAGGAAAUCUCAUGCAGUGUGAAUGAUUUCCUAUAUAGCAUAAGCAAAAUUUUCUGCUCUUUGUUUCUCACAGCUACACUCAGGAUAAAUAAAUUUUUGUCACCAAUGCUGUUACAAAAAGCAUGCAAAUUCCAGAGAUCACACUGGCUAAUGGAUGGGAUGGUUAUUUUGGAAGGAAAAAUAAGCUUUCCUAUAAUUUCCAUUCAUGUCGUCCCAAUGUGAGAUGACAGUUUACUGCAGGUUUAGGAAAUUAAAAUAAAAUGUUACUUUUCCAGGUGCACUGAAGAGGCUUUGAAAUUAGUGAAGGUGAAGUGAAAUGGUAUUUCUCACUGUACAGUGAGAGUCAGCAAGAUGACAUUGUAAAAUAUCCUUAGUAAUAGUCAGUUAGAAAGUCUGCAGGGGAUGAGGUCAAAGAAGGGUUAGCAGCUGACAUCAAAUCAGAAGCCAGAUGUGCUGACCUUUAAUCAUAGGUUUUUGCAGGCUUUUUUUUUUGGACUGCAAUACAGCAUAACAUUAUUGAAUUCACCUUUAGAUUAAGCUGGUCUGCUUUGACAUAUACAAACCCAUAUGCAAGUUAAUGGCUGUGUCAUCCACUUCAUUAUGCAAGCUUUGAUAACAGAUCAGUGAGGUGACCUCUGCAAGCACUACUUUUCAAGGUCCUUAACCAUUUGCAUUUUCAAUAAACAGAAAGUGGCACUCCCCAUUUAGGUCAUGUUGGAUCAUUAGUUUGGCAGAUACAAAUUAAACCUAGGAAUAGUAAUCUGUGACAUGUUUUUCUUUUUUCUUGCAAGAUCACUUAGAAAUAUUUAAUUCAGCACUAUGUUGUGAUGAAAGUCAUCUGUUCAUGUACUGAUGCAAGAUCUUUGGUGUUGCAGGGAAAGCAUUCUUGGAGAGAGUGUUCCUACCACAGGCAUAGGUAUUACUCAGUGGACUGAAGUUAAGCAUGGUCAGAAAUUUUUGAAGGAUCAAAAUUUCUUGGGGAAAAAAAUUACAUUUUCAUAAGGGUCAGUAGAUGACAAAGUUAAGAUUAUAUAUGCAAACCCUAACUGAUCCUUGUUGCUUAUAUGUGAUUCUGCAGCCUUUGCUUGCAAAAUCAUUUUGCAGAGGAUUUUUGCGUUAGAGCUGAAAUGAAAGAGGGCCUGACAUGGUGCAAUUUCUACUAGUUUAACAAAUGUUUUUGGGUGGUUUAAUAGAAGCUUAAUAUAAUGAUAUAUUGAUGUAGUGUUAUCUUUAUUCAGAGGGUAUGCUUCUGACUUGCUUACUUACACAGUGCUUACUCAACAAACUGCAUAGUAAUCAGUAGUAUUAAGGUCAGUGGCAACAGAUCUGUCUCUCACAUUGUACACUGAAGACAACAUUUACUGAAUAUUGCGCUGGUGUAGAAUUAAACGGAUUGCUGAUUCCACUGAAAUUACCUACCUUUCAUGCAACUUACAGGAAAGCAUUUAGCCAGGGGCUGGCCGGUGGGCUUAUGCCCUUUGCAGUCUUCACUGUGCAUAGUCCAACUUGAGUACUGAAUAAGGAAGGUAUGCAAAAGAGAUGGCUUGUUUCUUAGAUUCAUUAACAUCUGACCCUUUUCCCAGUGAGGUGGGAAUUGUGUGCUCCGACAACAAAAGACCUUGGUGGUGUCCAUGAUGACCUGGAAACCCACAUAAAAUGUUAUAAUCACUGCUAUUGGCAUAGUAUCCCAGUUCUCAGGUACUGAAACUGCAGAACUCAGUGGUCUGAUCUAUCUUGUUUACAGGGCAAGGGGAGGCAGAUAUAUAGAUCAGGCUUCUCCUGUGUCUGAAUUUAGAGUCUAUUUCCUGUAUUUCUUAGCUCCUAUUUCACUCUUACUUUUGUAUUCUAUCCUUUGUACAUACUAACUAUUUCUGUGGGAAAGCACAGUUAAAUUAUUUUAACACUUAAACCUGAGUUGUGUCCUAAUUUCAUCUGGGUGAGGAAUUUCAAGCCAACAUGUUUUGGUGGUUUUGUCUCCUGCUCGCAAGAGUUUCAUCCAGGAGGUUGGUCUCUUCAUUUCUGAGGAAUGCAGCUAACCGGAAAGACUGUGGUCACAGAUUUUAAAAAAAAAAAAAAAAAAAAAAAGAAGUCUUGGCUAUGUAAUGCUGCUUCCACAGAGCUGACUGCCAUUCUCCAGUUGGCCUGACAAGCCUCCACUGUACUGUUUGGUGAAGGCUUUGCACUUCUAAACAGGUAUGCUUCACUUGCAAGUCUUAAGAUUUCUAAGUAUAUACCUAAAUCAUAUAGGCAUGCUGCCGCUUUGAGGUGUGAUGUGCAAGUCAUAGAUUUAAAACACAGGAUUUAUGAACCACGGGGUAGCAUCCAUGUUGUAUUCCUACUCUGUUGGGCCAUGAAGCCCUGUGGAAACCUCCAGCUGGAUGGCAGAGGUAGAUGCUGCAAUCCAGUUCAUCAGCUGUAAUGCUCAUAAAAAGGACACCUGUGACGUAACUGAUGGGUUUAUUCUCACUCUGAAGUGACUGGUGCCAGUAUUAGUGACCAGAUUCAGCUGAGAGGGAGGGCAUGACUCAUAUCUUUUCAUACCUUGGUUUUUAGAGUUCUCUCCGACAAUAAAAGAAAGGUAGUGAGCUUAAUUCCUACCAAAACCAGAGCAAGGCUGUGGCAGACUGGUGAUGCUGUACUCUGCUGUAGCACAUAUAUGCAGGACCUUGGUGCACCUGUGUUUAGGACACUAAUGCAUUUAAGCAAGCUGGACCUAAGACUUAUAGCAAAUUUUCUAUAGCACUCUAACAGAAGAAACUGGAUAACCUACAGUAGCUUAAUUAAAGUUAAAAGAAGAUGUUUGAAGUUAGUUAAAUAUGAAAGUGUUUCAUAAUGAGAAUGAAUUCCUCUGGGAUAUUUUUUUAUUAGUUUUUCCACCCCAUGGACAGCUUUGGACUGGAGGUUAAGAACAAAAGCUGGAUGCUUCCGCUGAAAUUUUCCAUAUAGAACUAAUUACUGAGGGCAACAUUGUAACAUAUCUUUCUGUUCCAGACUUGACAACCUUUUCAGAUGAUUAGGGGGAAGCAGACCUCUCUAUUAAAUUUUUUCAGGUUGUUCUGCAGACUCAGGAAGACAUUAUUUAUACUCUGUUCAUGUAUUUAAGUUGAUCUUUGUCAUUGUGUGGCCAGAAACAUCUGUUUUAAACAACAGAAGCUGAGAUUAUUAAUCACUAUUCUAUAGGAAGGAAUUAAUUCAGUAGCAAACUGCAUAGCUAUAGAAUCAUGCAGUAACUGGAGCCUUGCUGAUAGCACGGAUAAAUUGAGGGUUUCAUUGUAUUGAGGUGUCAGUCUUGCAUCUGUCAUCACUGCUAAAUAAUUUUUAAGGGCUUAAAAAGCCCAAGAGGUAUCCUGUCCCCGUAAGAAAUUCAAAAUUCAUUUCUUCCUAUCUCCUGGGUGCUAUUUUUAGAAACAGCGGAAGAAACAGACAAAUCAGUCUAGUAACUCUAUUAGUGUCUACAGUUUAAUCCUAUGAAAGGGAGAAGUAAGGCAAUUGUAGUCAUCUGCUGAAAUCAGAACAUCCUUAGUAGCACAUUGAGGUUUUAUUUUUUACUAAGUAAUCAAAUUGGAAAAUUGUGUGAUCCUCAAAGAUUUCUCUCUGAGAAAGCAAACAGAGGAACAGCAAAUGGAUACAGAAGGGGUGUUUGGAGGCUGCCUUUAUGAAUGCUGACAGUAACAACAAGGAAAUGAUAGGGUGCAAAAUAUACUGAAUAAAGCAGAAUACUUCACAGUCUUUACGCUAGUUUUUGUACUUGUGAAAUGAAACAAUAAAUACAGAAGUGAUCCAGGCAGCUAGAUGAAUGGAAAUAGUGCAAACCUGCGGAGGUCUUGGGUGAGAAAAUAAGUGAAGCUGCCCUAUAUUUACUUGAAAACUGGCCCUUGAAUGAAGAGCCCUCAAAGAAAAGGAGAACAAAGAUAGGAUUCCUGCAGGAAGUAACCUCAUAUGUAAAAACAUUACUGAAUGGGGAAACCUUAGCUUUGUGUUCUGCCCUUGAGUUUUAGACCUGUAGUUCUGGCUUUCUUCAAAUAGAGACUGCAAAGUCAAGAGCAUGGUCCUGCCCGUUUGUGCACAGAGCUGAGCACCGUAUCUCCUAACCACACUGUAGUUACAUGAAGGGAAGCCCUGAAAAUCAAAUAUAAGCAGCCUAUUUUACCACUUGCUCCCUCCCCCCCCAUUUUGUCAUCACCCUGAUUUUCCCAGAUUUUACAAUUGUGCCUUGCUGGCUCCUUUCAGUCUACCUAAAUCCAUUAAUUGAAAAAUGUUUUAUUCCUGUCUGUAUCAGAGAAAAAAAAAUGUUAUCCACUUUGAGACCCUUCUCUCCAUAGGAGGUUUCAUGUCUUGGGUAAAAAAAACCCAAACAGCUACUUGCUGUGCUUUCAGUGUAAACACCAGCACGUAAAUCUGUAUAAGGAGACCAUGGAAACACGUUGCUCGUAGACUCUCUUUUUCUGGACUGUAUGGUGAGGACAGUGUUCUCUGAAUCUGUUGGCUAAUAAUCCCCAGUAAUGCUUUGUAAAAAAUAAUCUAAUGCAUGUAAAAACAUAAUAAGAGAGGAGGAUGUAUUUAUGUAAAUUAACUAAAACAUCUUCAAGAAUUAUGCAUUAAAGUGGUUAGAAAAGCUAGUAGAGAAUAAUAGGCGUGGAGACCUUCUUCUGUUUGUCAGCAGCCUGUUAAAUGGUUGGAGCUGCUGUAGCACCACGCAUGCCAAAUAGAUGCAAAAUAAUUUUCAAUACUAGAAAAUCAUCUGACAGCAAUAACUCAAGUAAUAUGUUGUAUUCAUGUAUUUAACUUGUAUGUAUGAAUACUAUUAUUUAAUACUUGUGUGUGAUUGUAUAUGAAUGCAUAGCAAAAGAAAUGAGAAAUAUACUUACUUUACUUAUUAGCAUUACAAAUUUCUUAUUAGCAUUUUCAUGGGCAAUUUUUCCUGCAACAAACUUUCUCUGUUCACUUUGAAAUUAAUGAGAAUUAGGCACCUGGAUUUCUUUAAAGAGCUGGCUUUCAGUGUCCAAAGUUAACAAAAAAUGUUAUUUUGUUUAAAGAAAAUGGAUUUGUCAGCUCAAUUUUUUAUUUACAUUUAUAGGAGCAGUUUGUGAAAGAGGUGAAAAUUGUGCUCUGUUUAGAUUACCUUUAUGGUGUUUUAAGGCAGCACGUAGUUUUUUCUGAUUUUAGCAAGCACCCUAAGCAGACCAGAUGCCAUUUAGUUUAGAUAACUUGGCUUAAUUUUUGAGAAAAGCAAUUACUCUUGAUAAUAAUAGCAGCUAGUCAGAUUUUUUUUUAUUUGUAAUUAUAGCUGUGGGGUUUGUUAAGAUGUAGGUCUUGGGGUGAGUACAGAUCCUGGUUGAGAAACAGGAGAGAAUGGAAGAGCCCAGCCCAAGAACUCUGCAGAGCCUCUUUAUCCUAAUUGUGUAACUUCAGAGGCUCUGUAAAUUGGAUGUGACAUGUUAUACAUCUUCUAAAAGAGCUAUCACAAUUUAAAGAAAAUUAAACUCUUAAGUGAAUGUUUGAUUUGUAAUGUUUGCCUCACAGUUAAUGGUCUCUUUGUCUCAUUCUGCUCAAUGAGAUUUUCCUUAAUUCAGCUAAUACAGCUUUUCCAGAUAAGCAUAUGUGUAUAAAUUAGUAUUUCCUUUUCUUUCUAUGUAUCCUACACUUUUCUUUCUGCUGCAAUAUUUUCACUGUAAACAGAAACAGUUUACCUUGGCCCUGGAAUUAACAGUAACUUGGAUCUCCUCAGUUUACUAAUGAAACUUGAGUUUGAACUGAUUUACCAAAAAAAUAUUUUUUAAUAUACAAUUGAACUCAAUAAUUGUUUUAUGGCUGGAUCAACGCUGUACUUGGAUUACAAGCUGUUUCCUAUCUUCUUGUUUCUGGUAUUCAGAAGGAAGGAAAUAUUUCUCUAUUAUUAAGCUCCCAAAAAUCUCAAAAGACCAUUUUUGGAAGGAAAUUGCAGUUUCUAUUAAACUUUCUUUUUAUCUAAAAUUUCUUCAAAGUACUUGCUAGAAACAAAUUAUGUAACAGCACUGUUUGACAGAUUUAUUUAGGGAUAAACGUACAUACUGGUUUGGCAAACAGCUUUUAGUUGUGUACCUUCAAGUUUUCUCCUUUGCUCAUAAAAGACAAAAAAAUUGAUCUUUUUUAUGACAGUCCUAAAGUCAUCUCUGAUUCAGAUCACCUCAGAUGGAGGAUUGAAGAUGAAAACAAAACCCCAUUAUUUUAUCACAGUCCUUUUUGAACCUGGUAGAUCUUAGACACGUGAUAAACCAACUCUGAGUAUUUCAGUAAUUUAAUCUAUAUACAAUUCUACAAUAGUUGGGGGGAAAAAAAAACCCCAAACCCCAAAACCCAACCCCCUUAAAUUUUAGCCUACAGGGCAAAACUGCUGGCUUUCUGGGACCAGUGUCUGAUUUUCUUGCUCAAUGCUAAAACGUCUGACAUACUAAAAUGUAAAUAGAGAAACAGUGUUUAAGAAGGCAGAUUAACUUUACAUUUCUUCACAUUUGAUUUUCUUGGUCAUUUAUAUUUAAAAAAAAUAAUUUACUAAUACCAUUACUAAAUCCUCCAUCAAAUGGGAGCCAUUUCCGUCAAUGGAGUCCCAUUGAUAUGUGUUUCUGGACAAUAAUCCAUAUUGUUUGGCAUUCCUGAACUUCAAAACCCCAAACCCCAUUACUUCACACCCCAUUAGCUAUUCUAUGCUUUUGAACCAGAUCAGUAUUUCUAAUCUGAGAAAUCACUAUUUGGAAUCACCUCUUUGGGGUGACCAAGACAUUCAAAUGCUUAGGGGCAGGUGCCCAGUCUUGGGUGACUGGUGCCAUUUCAGGUGCUCAGCACAUCUGAAGUGUUUGCACAGGACUGGUGGGUGUCAUCCAUGGUCCACACAGGAGGUUUUUCUGGAGGACUACCUGCAGUGGUUCCUCUCUGCACCUUCAUCUGAGUCCAUGAAAUAUUUGCAGCAACCAGGAUCAGCAGGUAUUUUUGAGAAUAAUAUUCUUGCUCAUGACCUUAAAUUUGACCUUAUUUAAGCAAUAAUAGUAACUAUGUUUCAGGUAAGUAGGAGUUACUAACUUCCAUUAGGCUGAAACAAGUUUCCUCAGGAUGGCCCCCAAGAUGAUUGUUCUAAUUUGGCACGUAUCAUUUAAGUGGUAAUUACUAUGGUAACACUUUAAAUGCAUGUGGUGCCUUUCAUUUUAUACAGCAAACCUGUACUAAGUAGAAGUAGGAGUUGAGAGAAGAUAAUGGAUUUUGACUAGACUAUUCAGAGCAGGCUAGAAAAGGAAACAUAUGAAUAGUGGAAAAAAGAAAAAUGUGGUUUGAGUUAUUUUUCAUGCAGUCAGAACUCAAAACAAUUGAUUGGAUUUUGUCUAAGAUUUCCUGAAUUUGCUUUAUGUCUGAGAUCAGUCAUGAAAACUUUGGUCCUGAAAGUACAACAAAAAUUGUGUAAUGUGAAAAUGGGAUUUAAAUUCUUUCAGUGCCUGCCUUUGCAUGAUAAAACGUAUGAACUUGCAGGCAUGCUUACUCAUCAGUGGGCAUAUAGGAAAGUAAAUUUUUUUUCAGUGCUUGAUACAGCCACCCCCACCAUCCGCCCUGCAAAUCCUCCCCAAAUGCAGAUAAAUCCUUUUGGUAACUGAGGCAAACUAAAGCACAGUCUUUAACAUACCUAAAUGUGCUUAUGCCAUAUUUUUAUAUUUAAAGAUUAAAGAGGUCUCUCUGAAAAAAACCCUUUAGCUAAUGACCUGCACUUGAAUCAGCUACAGGUGCAUCUAGAAAUCAAGGGAAAAACAGACUUUGGAUGACAACUUCUACCUGAGCAUUUUACCAUACAACUUUUUGAUCCCUGAUGUAAGGCCUCCUUAUGGGGGUAAUGGGUAAAAACCUUUAGCAGAAAUCUGCAAACAGGAAGAGGUAACAGAAGACUGGUGACAACUGCAUCCAGUUAAGGUGAUUCCAAGGAGAGUCCACUUCAGAUGAUCCUAGAAAGGCCAUUUGCUGUGGAAGGUGUCACAGUUACAUUUUCUGGGGUAUUGAUUCUGAUAAGCGGGGGCUUUUUGUAUGAAGGGUGUUAUGAAAAACAGUGUAUAAAUAGUGAAAUUGCUACAUCAGUGCUGCUUGCAUCACACACUAGUACAUGGAUAUUUUCUGGGUCUCAUCCUAGAAACUGUUGAGAUCAUAUGGUUUAGGAGAGGUAUGGGAUUCUAAGCAAGUAAUUUAAUUUGUGCUUUGAAUCAUUCCCUGUCCAACAGGUCUUUUUCAAAAGUUAGUGGAUUCCUUACUGCAGUAACUUAAAAGGAUGUUUGGCAGGUUCCUAAAUGUUCCUGUUUAAUGAUGUAGAAUUAAUAUCACUGUUUACAACUGUGUGUUUCUUAAAUGUAGAAAACUUUAUUUUACAAAUGUGCACAUGAAUUUCUCUGGAUGAAGGAAACUAUUUUGUCUUUUUAUUUCUUUGGUACGUUAAAACAGUACAGUGCAGUAACUUUUAAAAGAUGGAAGGGGAUGUCCUUAUCUGCACUGCUUCAUCUUUUGUUAUGCUCUAACUCUGGAGACUACUCAGAGUCUGGACUUGAUGCUGCCUCAUGCUAUGCCAUGUUGUGUCCAGAGGAUUACUGAUAUAUAUCCUGUUGAGCUCGUGCUUUGAAAUCUCAACAUUUCUUUAUUCUGACAAAACCUUCUGAAAGUUGGACUCCACUGACCAUGUCUUGUAAAAAAACCCCACAAAACCAACAAAAACAAAAAACCACCAAAACCCCAAACAAACACAAAAAACCUCCCAACCAACAAGCAAUAUAUGCAAAAGGGAUAAUAGGGAUUUAACAGAAUGUAAGUUCUAAAAGUUGUCCAAAGAAAAGUGAUGGUGCAGUGUCACCAGUGUGAUCUCAAAAGACAUUACGUGCAGCCCAGUCCUGUAAUUAACUAUUUGCAAAUCAUUAAGUUUUUGAGAUGGACUUAUUUUGGUUCUUACUGGCUAGGAAUGAAGGUUAGUAGAUUGUGCUUCCUGACCAAGAAGAAGCUGAAGCAUUUGAAUAAUAAGUUAAAAUUUUAAUACAUUUAGAUUACUAAUCCCCAUUGUGUGCCACGUGAAUUUUCAUUAAACUAAGCCCCAAAUCUAGUCCUGCAGUCGCCUUCAAUUGAUGGUCCAAUUUUGUUAAUGCAAAUUUUGAGUCAAAUAGUAGCUCACAAGUAACAGUAAUUCUUACAGACUUUGUCAAACUAUAGGAGGCUGUGCAGACUACACUGUGGAGAGCGUGAAGAGUUAUUAAAGAACUCUUACAGGAUCAAGUGAAAUGAAUCUUAAAAGCAUAAGCAGGUGUGUGCUGCAUCAUCACAAGGUCCACCUAGGCUGCUAUUUGAUGACAGAGGUAUGUACAAGAGUUAAGACCCGUUAAUAGUGGCACUCACCCAGAACACACUCGCAGCUUCUGCAGAUCUGUACCUCAUGCAGUUCCAGAGCUGGCUGUGGUUCUUUGUAUUGCAUGGACAGACUUUCCCCAAGUAUUUGCACACUGAUUUUUCAAGUCUCAGCAUCCUGUGGCAAUGAUUUCACAGGUUCAUUGACAUUGUCUGAAGAAGUAACUUUGUAUUUGUUAUAAACCAUCUAGUUUUAGUCCACCUCUUUUAUCUUUUAUAUCGGAACAAUUAAUGCUUUUUUACCUUCUCCAUGCCAGUAAUUAUAUUUCUGGAUAUCUGUCACAGCCUUCUCAGGCACUCUUCCAGCCUGAAAAAUCUUAAUCUGCUAGCUCGGUUUGAGCUAUCUUUGAUAUCUUUGAUCAUUUACUCUUAUCUUUUUCCAAUUCUUUAAUAUUGUUUUCAAGAUCAGAAAGUAGAUUUUUUUCCACAGUAGGCAAGGACAAGGUGCACAAUAGUUUAUGCAGCUAAAAAAUUUUGUUCUCUUUUUUUUUUCUCUCCUUUACAUAAUUCCUAAUGUUCUGUUUGGUUUUUGACUGCACAAGAGUAUCAAGGUGAUGCUUUCAAAGAGCUACCUCUUACAGUUCCAAGAGCUUCUUCAAAAGUAGCCGUAAUAUACUCAGUGACAGGCUCUGAGUUACUAAAGUCAGAAUUGCUUUUUCCUGCAUGUGUUUACGCUUACCAUUUUAUUGCCCAGCAUCACAUUGUGUCAUGAAGCUUUUCUGCAACUCUUUGAACCUUUCAUAAUUCUUUGCAGAGACCAAGAAAAGUACAUUCUGUUUAUGAUCAGCAGGCUAUGAUUAAGCUUGAUCCUAUCACACAAGUGGAAGCUCAAGGAACCCUGAAUCACGGCUGGAGCCUGUGAAAUGAGUCCAUGCCUCCCCAGGUCGAUAAAAAUCAAUAAAUUUUGUCUGCUAUCACUGGACAUAAAUCAGGUCCUUAGAUAAGCUCAACUGCUAAACUCUUUGGGAAAAAAACAAAACCAACCAAACAGUAAUACUUCUUUUUCUCUAGUAAUGAUCGCUUACUCUUUUGUUCUGUUAUCCCGUUUUGAGUCCCCCAUUCCUGAUUAACACAAUUGAUAAAUCAGUAAUGAUCAGACACCAGCAGCACAUCCUGCUUGGAAGCAGUCAGCCCUAAGACCAGACCGCAGCACAGACCAGCAGCAGCCAGGCAGUCACAGGCAGCUGCCUUUGACCAUAAGGAAGGAUCUUUGGCUUCAUGCUGCAUGCUUUCCAGGCAGCUUCUGACACGGUGGACCCCAAAGCACACUUCACC